rnacentral:rRNA from 1 species
UACAGGGGGUGCAAACGUUGCUCGGAAUUAUUGGGCGUAAAGCGCGCGUAGGCGGCCGCUUAAGUCGGAUGUGAAAGCCCCUGGCUCAACUGGGGAAGUGCACCCGAAACUGAGUGGCUUGAGUACUAAAGAGGGUCGCGGAAUUCCCGGUGUAGAGGUGAAAUUCGUAGAUAUCGGGAGGAACACCUAUGGCGAAGGCAGCUCGCUGGGACGUUACUGACGCUGAGACGCGAAAGCGUGGGGAGCAAACAGG